rnacentral:rRNA from 1 species
AGAGUUUGAUCCUGGCUCAGGACGAACGCUGGCGGCGUGCCUAACACAUGCAAGUCGAGCGGAGAUGUAGAGUAGCUUGCUACAAAGCAUCUUAGCGGCGGACGGGUGAGUAACGCGUGGGCAACCUGCCUUACAGAGGGGGAUAACAGUGCGAAAGCACUGCUAAUACCGCAUGAAAUUGCGAUAUCACAUGGUAUUGCAAUCAAAGGAGAAAUCCGCUGUAAGAUGGGCCCGCGUCUGAUUAGCUAGUUGGUGAGGUAAUGGCUCACCAAGGCGACGAUCAGUAGCCGAUCUGAGAGGAUGAACGGCCACACUGGAACUGAGACACGGUCCAGACUCCUACGGGAGGCAGCAGUGGGGAAUUUUGCGCAAUGGACGAAAGUCUGACGCAGCAACGCCGCGUGGGUGAUGAAGGUCUUCGGACUGUAAAACCCUGUCGUCAGGGACGAAGGUGGCAGUGUUAAUAGCGCUGUUACUUGACGGUACCUGGAGAGGAAGCCCCGGCUAACUCUGUGCCAGCAGCCGCGGUAAUACAGAGGGGGCAAGCGUUAUUCGGAAUUAUUGGGCGUAAAGGGCGCGUAGGCGGUUUUUUAAGUCAGAUGUGUAAUCCCCGAGCUCAACUUGGGAACUGCAUCUGAGACUGGAAGGCUAGAGUACUGGAGAGGGUGGUGGAAUUCCUCGUGUAGCGGUGAAAUGCGUAGAGAUGAGGAGGAACACCAGUGGCGAAGGCGGCCACCUGGACAGUAACUGACGCUGAGGCGCGAAAGUGUGGGUAGCAAACAGGAUUAGAUACCCUGGUAGUCC